rnacentral:rRNA from 1 species
GACGAAUGCUGGCUGUGUGCUUAACACAUGCAAGUCGAACGGUGAAGGAGGGCUUGCCCUCCGGAUCAGUGGCGAACGGGUGAGUAACACGUGGGCAACCUGCCCCUCACUCUGGGAUAACGCCGGGCAACCGGCGCUAAUACCGGAUACGACCAGGCGCGACCUCUCGCCUGGUGGAAAGAAUUUCGGUGAGGGAUGGCCCCGCGGCCUGUCAGAGUGGUGGUGGGGUCACGGCCGACCAAGUCGCAGCAGGGUGGCCGGCCUGAAAGGGCGACCGGCCACACCGGGACUGGGACACGGCCCAGACUCCUACGGGAGGCAGCAGUGGGGAAUAUUGCGCAAUGGGCGAAAGCCUGACGCAGCGACGCAGCGUGAGGGACGAAGGCCUUCGGGUUGUAAACCUCUUUCAGCGGGGACGAAGCGAAAGUGACGGUACCCGCAGAAGAAGCACCGGCUAACUACGUGCCAGCCGCCGCGGUAA